rnacentral:rRNA from 1 species
AACGAACGCUGGCGGCAGGCUUAACACAUGCAAGUCGAACGAGAUCUUCGGAUCUAGUGGCAGACGGGUGAGGAACACGUGGGAACAUCCCUUUCAGUUCGGAAUAACGUUGGGAAACUAACGCUAAUACCGGAUACGUCCUUCGGGAGAAAGAUUUAUCGCUGAAAGAUUGGCCCGCGUCUGAUUAGCUAGUUGGUGAGGUAAUGGCUCACCAAGGCUACGAUCAGUAGCUGAUCUGAGAGGAUGAUCAGCCACAUUGGGACUGAGACACGGACCUAACUCCUACGGGAGGCAGCAGUGGGGAAUAUUGGACAAUGGGCGCAAGCCUGAUCCAGCCAUGCCGCGUGAGUGAUGACGGCCUUCGGGUUGUAAAGCUCUUUUGUCCGGGAAGAUAAUGACUGUACCGGAAGAAUAAGCCCCGGCAAACUUCGUGCCAGCAGCCGCCGUAAUAC